CUAAUUCACAACACCCAGGGCUACAACACCCAGGGCUUUGUGCUUCUCUCUUAAAAUAAAACUUUUAUCUUAAAAAAGAAAAGGCAUCCAACACAGAGUUUUCUGACCGCAGCGGCAGGCUAGAUCUUUCCCAGUCCGAGGGUGGGGGAGUUGUGGGUUCACUGGGGCAUGAAGGGAGAGCAAACCGGCCCUCAUCUUCCCCUCUCCUCGGCUUCUCUGUUGUUCUCUGUGUGGUGAAGACACACAGGAAAUGGCAGUCACAACAAAGGGCCACAUAGCUCUGUGGACAUUUAGAAGAGCCAGGGUGUGUAGCUAGGGAAAAGAUGAACUCGGAGUAGAGACCUUGACACUCUAAGCGGCAGGAGGGUUAAAAAGGACGAAUUCUGAGGCCUUGUGUCCUCUGUGGCAAUCAGGCUGGCUACAGGUCUCCAGUCUGUAGUGAGAAGCUAGCCUCCAGCUCACCCACAGGUGGCUUCUGGUUCCUCUCCUUGGGACCCCACACAUGCCAGGCUUCUAAAUGAUCCCAGGAAGCUAGUGGCGAGUCUAAUCGCACCAGCCCUAUGUGUUUGUUACUGGAGGUGUGAAGGCCAACAUCUGGGUGAGGCCUGAAAGCCUGAAUGAACCCGGCUCAACCAUCUACCCUCAGCGAGUCCCUUGAAAGGUUUGUUCAAGGUGGUCACAUUGACAAGAGGGACAAAUAAACAGGCUGAGUGACACUUUCCACUAACUCCAUCUUGGAGAAUCUGACAUGAGCUUUAGAUUUAAACAGGGACAAGAGGCAGACAAAAGCAAGCAGCUUUGGUUAAGGUGUGGUCCUGCCUGACACUGACCACUGUCGCUGUCUUGCUAGGUGUUCUGACAGACGUCAGAACAGUGUGACAUCUCUUCCUGAGAGACAUGCUUUCUUUCUGGCUGGCAAGAGGAUUCCAGACUUCUCAAUCUCCUGGUUAGAGACAACAACUGCAAAUUCCAAUUCUUUGGAAUCCAUCGUCUUAGUUUGAUGCUGCGGGAAGAGCCAAGUGUCUCUUUAAAAUCUCAUCUUUUCUGCCAGCCUUCAUAUACUCUGCAACAGGCUGCACUAGAGCACGGGGAACGCCCAACUGUGGAAGGAGUCAUAGCCCGAGGCUUUUUAACACUGUAUGAUGGGAGUUUCUGUGCUUGAAGAUCUACAUGGCGUUUCUGAAAAGCAAAACCGAGCGGGCUGUGGCCACACCAACAGAGGUCGUCCAGCUUUCCCCCUGAUGAAACUAAAAGCUUAAACGGAAGUGGGAGUGCGUUUUGCCCCGCUGUAGCAGGUUUUCUUCUGAACCGAGGCCCGCUCGCGGGAGGAAGACACAGAAAAGGGUCGGCAUACAACCGUUCUUUUUCAACCGAGAGAUUCUUGCGUCUGUGAGCUUCGGGAAAGCGGCUCAUUUAACCUUUCCAAAGAUCUUAUCCAAGUCUUGGCAGCCGGAAGACGUUUUAGGUCAAUAUACCAAAGGGCUUUUGUUGGAAUUAAAUGACGAAUGCCAAAAUUUCAUUUAAAAACACGGAUUCUGAAUAAAUGCAACGUUAGCACAUUUGCAAACGGAUGCAAAACGGGCGCCCAGGGAGCCCUCCCCCAUCCCCACCCUCUGUGGCCUUUGUGUAAGGGAUGUUUGCCCAGAGUUUCAAGAAUGGAAGAUCUUGGGAGCUGAGAGCUUUCUCUUCCUCGCUGGCAAAGAGCGAUGUGGCCUCUCAGAGUUUUAAAUCGCUGGCGAUUGGGUUGUGUGUCUCAUGGAAAAGCAGACUCCUUUUAGCUCAAGGUGGCAUAAAGAUGGGUCCUGAGGCUCAGGACUUCUUCCGGAGAGUGGACUCUGAGGUCCUGGGCCUGGAGAUGACCCCUGCUAUAGCAUGUUGGAGAUCUUCAGUAAUUAAACAAUAAAUAUUCAAGAGAAAUGAUUCUGCCUGUGAGAUCCUCGGCAACGCACUGAGCUUUCGAGAGGCAAUAAAUGAAAGGCUCCUCUAUUACAAACCAGAAGAUUAAUGAAAUCGUGACGUUCAGGCAGGAACAAAACAACCCACAGGCUCAAGACAAUGUGUGCAGAAGCAAUUUGCUUCUGAAACUCAGCGCCGGAGAUGCGUUCGUGUACCCCAGCAGCUCUCUCUCAGAGAGAGCGAGUAAAUAAGCUCACAGGGAAGAAAACAACCCUUUAAAAUGGAGCUUUUUCUCUUCAAGAGGGAAAUAUGGCAGAUAGAGCUGAUGGCUAAGAUGUAUUCGAAGCUCAAAGGCGGGUGUUUUCCAUUAGGAAUUAGAGAGUAAACACUGAUUCCCCUUAGGAAUUAAGUUAGAGUGGCCUCUGCCUGCCCGCCCAGGAGCAGCAGCUAGACCUCUCUGGCUUCUGCCUGUUUUGUGAUUAGAAGCCUGGGUCCCGCCUCCUAGCCAACUGCUACUACUCUCUCUUCUGAGUAGGUUGUUCACACAAAGAUGUAAUGACUUGACAACAACCCCCUGACCCCUGAGUGUCUUUUUGCAACACGCUCCUGUCCAAUCAGAUGUCUGACAGAAGGCUGCUGCAGGAGAGCCUGCCUGCCCUAUAAUAGCAACAUUUUCUAUUCCCACAGACAGCUGUUUUCCUUUAGUAAACAAACCCAUCAGAGCGCACAGCUUAGUAGGGAGACUGACUCUAGGUGAAGAAGAUGCCUCCUGGGGUGGAGAAGCCUAGGAAACGCCUGCCCUGAGGUUUCAGAAGGACUCUGGCAGAGGCUCAGAAUCAUCGAGAUAAAAAUGGGCUCAGCACACAUGAAUCCUUGGUGACUCAAGCUCAGUGCUUUUGUCUGAUCGCUCUUUGCUCUCUCAGUAUUUCCUGGACUUGGGUUGUAUAGGAAACUGCGGCCUUCUCAGAGGCCACAAUUUAAGGGUGAGCUGGCACGAGAGAGGCUACGUGGCAAACAUACCCGAGGGCCUUGGAUAUUAGCAGAGGUUCUUUCAGUUGAUAGAAAAUGUUGAGGCCGCUGUGGCUGCCUAAUCCCAGAGUUCUAGUGUUCUGGUUGUUAGAAGUCAGACUCGAACAUGGUACACACCUUUAAAUCCCAGCAUUCAGGAGGUAGAGGCAGGUGGAUGUCUGUGAGUUUGAGGCUAGCCUGGUCUAUACAGAAACAAACAAAAUAGAAAAGAAAAAAAGAAAGAAAUCAGAGUCUAAGUAUGUGAGAAGUUUUACAGAGGCCUAGAGCCACCUGCAGCCCAUUCCUGAUAUUCUGGAAGUGACAAGCAAAGUGUCACACUGUAUGGAGGCCACACGGAGGUACAGGAAGCCCUGGUGGCAGGCUGGCCGGAGAAGCACCUUCAGCUCAUUAACCAAGAGUCCCUCCUCUCCCCAUCUGUGCCAGGCCCUGCAAUGCUAAUGGCUGUGACUGGGCUACUCUUUGUCCAAGUAAACAAUAGCGUCCCCCACCAACAAGACAUCAGGGUCAGGUGGAAGGCUGCCCCUCGGGUGCUGCUAGCUUGUAGUUUUCUCCUAUAGAAUUAAGCACAACUGUCACCCAAGAGUCUAAGUGUGGAAGGCAAAGAUCUGGUUUAACGGGGCAGAGACUGGGUCUGCCUCCACUGCCAUUCCUUUUUCUCUUUUGUUUCCUAACUGAAAAGGUGAAGCUGAGGGGAAGGGGUUGCCCAACGUGAAGAGUCAGCCGGAAGUUAAAGUCCGGGCAUUCAUUGUUAAGAUGGAAGCAGUAGGUUUACCCUGACUCCUACCCCUUACGACUUGGAAAACUAGGGGAUUGCGUUUAUGACUAAGAACAGCUUCGGGAUGAAGCAUGAAUCAAAAUCGGCUCCGGGCAACUAAAUCCUCAUGUGUGCAGAAGGACUCUCUGCCCAUCCAAACACAUCUCACCCGAAACUUAGUCCAGAGAGAUGUGGGAGACAUUUUGUAUACUUUCCAUCCCAGUGCCUCCUCUCUCUCUCUCUCUCUCUCUCUCUCUCUCUCUCUCUCUCUCUCUCUCUCUCUCCCUCUCUCUCUCUCUCUCUGUGUGUGUGUGUGUGUGUGUGUACAGCUCACUAGCAUGCAUUCAGAGGCUCGUGGAUAACUGUCUUAGCUAAGGUUUCGAUUGCUGGGAUGAGACACCGUGACCAAGACAACUCAGGAAGGAAAGGGUUUAUCUCAGCUUUCAUAUUACACACUGCCACCAAUGGAAGCCAGGCCACAAGGAAAUAUUUCAUACUGGUUCUCUCAUAAUGGCUUGCUCAGCCUUUCUUAGACCCCUCAGUGCCACCAGCCCAAGGGUAGCACCACCCACAGUAGCUGCCCCCCCCCCAAUCAAUCUUCAGUCAAGAAGAUGUACCACAGGCUUGCCCACAUACCAAUCUGUUGGGGGUCUUUUCUCAGUUGAAGUUUCCUUUUCCCAAAUGACUUCAGCUUUGUCAAGGUGACAUAAAACUCCCCAGCACAACCCCAGGUGUCAUUCCUUAGGAACACAGCCUACCUUAUUUUAAGGCAAGGUCUCUCAUUGGCCUAGAACUCUCAAAUUAUGAUAUGUGGUCUGGCCAGUGAAUCCCAGGGAUCCAGCAGUCUCUGCCUCCCUAGUGUGGAGAUGACAGGCAUGUGUCCUGAGCCUGAGAGUUGUACAUAUAUGCUGGAGACUGAGGUCCAGCUGGAACACGCAGAGCACACUCCACCAGCUGAGGCACUUCCUGGGCCCCACCUUCAGCUCACCGCAGAACAGAAUCCUUGGAAGAAUUCUCAGAACAGCAUGUCUGAGAGAGAACAAUACCUGUGUACUUUUAUGUGUCUGGGUUUUAAUAACUGUAAUGAACAUCACUGGGGACAGAAGGAAUUUGCUGUUGCUGGACAAGGUUUCAGGCACUGGUCACUUUUCGUCUGUGCGUGCUAUUCCCAACAACUUGAUAAAACCUUUUUCCUGAUGUAAGGCA
rnacentral:lncRNA from 1 species